rnacentral:rRNA from 1 species
GACGAACGCUGGCGGCGUGCUUAACACAUGCAAGUCGAACGGAAAGGCCCUGCUUUUGUGGGGUGCUCGAGUGGCGAACGGGUGAGUAACACGUGAGUAACCUGCCCUUGACUUUGGGAUAACUUCAGGAAACUGGGGCUAAUACCGUAUAGGAGCUCCUGCUGCAUGGUGGGGGUUGGAACGUUUCGGCGGUCGGGGAUGGACUCGCGGCUUAUCAGCUUGUUGGUGGGGUAGUGGCUUACCAAGGCUUUGACGGGUAGCCGGCCUGGGAGGGUGAACGGCCACAAUGGGACUGAGAGACGGAGCAGACUCCUACGGGAGACAGCAGUGGGGAAUAUUACACAAUGGGAGCAAGCCUGAUGCAGCAACGCCGCGUGCGGGAUGACGGCCUGCGGGUUGUAAACCGCUUUCGCCUGUGACGAAGCGUGAGUGACGGUAAUGGGUAAAGAAGCACCGGCUAACUACGUG